GAUGAACGCUGGCGGCGUGCCUAACACAUGCAAGUCGAGCGAUUCUCUUCGGAGAAGAGCGGCGGACGGGUGAGUAACGCGUGGGUAACCUGCCUUGUACACACGGAUAACAUACCGAAAGGUAUGCUAAUACGAGAUAAUAUGCUUUUAUCGCAUGGUAGAAGUAUCAAAGCUUUUGCGGUACAGGAUGGACCCGCGUCUGAUUAGCUAGUUGGUAAGGUAACGGCUUACCAAGGCGACGAUCAGUAGCCGACCUGAGAGGGUGAUCGGCCACAUUGGAACUGAGACACGGUCCAAACUCCUGCGGGAGGCAGCAGUGGGGAAUAUUGCACAAUGGGCGAAAGCCUGAUGCAGCAACGCCGCGUGAGCGAUGAAGGCCUUCGGGUCGUAAAGCUCUGUCCUCAAGGAAGAUAAUGACGGUACUUGAGGAGGAAGCCCCGGCUAACUACGUGCCAGCAGCCGCCGUAA
rnacentral:rRNA from 1 species